rnacentral:rRNA from 1 species
CAGCAGUGGGGAAUAUUGCACAAUGGGCGCAAGCCUGAUGCAGCCAUGCCGCGUGUAUGAAGAAGGCCUUCGGGUUGUAAAGUACUUUCAGCAGUGAGGAAGGUGGGAUAUGUUAAUAGCAUAUUCAUUUGACGUUAGCUGCAGAAGAAGCACCGGCUAACUCCGUGCCAGCAGCCGCGGUAAUACGGAGGGUGCGAGCGUUAAUCGGAAUUACUGGGCGUAAAGCGCAUGCAGGUGGUUUGUUAAGUCAGAUGUGAAAGCCCGGGGCGUCAACCUCGGAAUUGCAUUUGAAACUGGCAAACUAGAGUACUGUAGAGGGGGGUAGGAAUUUCAGGUGUAGCGGUGAAAUGCGUAGAGAUCUGAAGGAAUACCGGUGGCGAAGGCGGCCCCCUGGACAGAUACUGACACUCAGAUGCGAAAGCGUGGGGAGCAAACAGGAUUAGAUACCCUGGUAG